AGAAAAAAGGCAAAAAGACAGAAAGCAAAAACAAAAACCAAAAAAACCCACAAAAAUGUAUUCACUCUGGCUGCAGGUAGAGGCCAGAAGUCUGAACCAGGGCGUAAGGCCUGUGCUCCCGCUCCCUCCGGAGGCCCAGGGGAGAAUUCGUUCCUUGGCGCUCCCAGCUUCUGGUGGCUGCUGGCAUUCCUUGGCAGGUGGCCCCAUCUCUCCAGUCUCUGCCUCUGUUUUCACAUGGAUUUCCCUCUGUCUCUCCUGUGAGGGCAUUUGUGAUGGCAUCAAGGGCCCACCCAAUAAUCAAGGCCAUUUAGUCUCGAGAUUCUUCAAUUGCAGAGAUGCUCUUUCUAUAUAAGGAGACAUUUACAGGUUCCAGGGUGAGACCUGUUUUCCUUGGGGCCACUAUUCAGACUAUUACAGGAUUCAAGAGGAUGAACUCUGGAGCCAGACUAGGUGGGUUCAGGCCCCAGUGCGGGUCUCCUACUCUCAGGAUGGUCUUCAGCAAGUGUCUUGAUUCUUAGUGCCUCCAUUUUCUGAUCUGUAAAGUGGCAAUAACAGUAUUACCUGCCUAAGGAUGAAAAGGGUUAAUAUAUGCAAAGCACCUAAUAAGCUUAGGACACUGCGUGGCCCAUCUGAGGAAUAGCUAUUAUUGUAGUGGUUGCUUUUAUUAGAGAUUCUUUGUAAAAUGUCAUUUAAAUAGCUACAUAAAACUUUAUUCAUGACUCUAACAUAGCUUGUUUAAUCAUUUCUUUUUGUUGGCUAAAUUACUUUCAAAUUUUUCGUCUCAUAUAUAACACCACCAUGGAUACCAUUGUGCAUUAAGUUUUGUCCCUAUUUCAGAUGUAUUGCCUAGUGUAGAGUUCUGAAAAUAAUUACAACCUCAAAGAGUGCAAACAAUUUUUAGCCAUUUAGUAAGAAAUUGCCAAAUGGCUCCCAGAAAGAUCAUGCUUGUUGUACUCCUGCCAGUAGCUGAAUGAUGAGAAUGCCUGUUUUGCUGUGGCCGUACCUGCAUGGACUGUUACCAUUUUAAACAUUCUUUGGUAUUUUGACGUGGCUGAAAUGUGACAUAGCAAAGGGACCCAACCUAGUACUUGCUUUAACAGGGAGUGUUCUUACAAGUCAAGAAAACUUGAUGAGAAAUGAGAUCUUUGCUUUGUCAAGUUUCCAAGUACCUCCUCCAUCCUGUUAUGAAGCCUGGAAACUUCCUGAAUGUUCUCAAGGUUACAGGGCUGGGUAUUAGGGGAGAGGGCAUAUGAGUAGCAGGACAGUGCUUGGUACACGAGGGUUUUAAUAAAACAACUUUGUUUCUGUUCUCAAACUUGGACAUUGAAAGCUCUGAGCAUUUGAUGGGGUGAGGGAGGCACACUUGAACCAAAAAAACAAAUCAGUGUAAUCAGUUUACAACUAAAGGCAUUUAGGGGGCGGGAAGAUAGGACAGGGAGGGAGCAGUUCCUGCCAGAUAAGGUGGGAGGCCAGCCUAGGGAAGGGCUGAGGGAACAGUCACACCUGCCUCUCGCACCCCUGCCACCUGUCAGCCUCCUUUCCUUUCCUGGGGGUGCCCGUUGCAGUCCGGUCUUGCCCAGCCUGGGCCUCUGGGCUGCAGAGGAAGAGCUGGGGUCCCAGGAAUAAUCCAGGUCGCCUUCACUGGAAAUCAGUUUGCUGAAACUAUUGAUACGCAGUUCUUAACGCUGAAGAAAAGGAGGUCCUGCGCCUUGACCACACAAGCGUGGCCCUUCCUCCAGACCCCCGCUCCGGACGCGCCCACCUAGCGUCUCCCAGGAACCAUGCGGCAGCUCAAGGGGAAGCCCAAGAAGGAGACGUCCAAGGACAAGAAGGAGCGGAAGCAGGCCAUGCAGGAGGCCCGGCAGCAGAUCACCACCGUGGUGCUGCCCACGCUGGCCGUGGUCGUGGUCCUGAUCGUGGUGUUUGUGUACGUGGCCACGCGCCCCACCAUCACCGAGUGAGGGCCCGCCCCGAGGGAGGAGGCUCGGGAGGGGAGAGCAGAAGAAGGGCCUUCAUCCGCUGCGAUUUUCCUGAUGCCGAGCUCUGAGCAGGAGCCCCCGUCUCCUCUGGUCUGUGACUUGAUUAAAGGUUCUCCACUUUUCUCGGGAGGGAAUAGGAAACGUUUUAUCAGUGAACGUGCCAUACACCUUAUGGUCCACUUCAUGUGCCUUUCAGACUUCAAAGCCGUGUGUGUGUGUGUGUGUGUGUGUGUGUGUGUUUCUCGCCUGCAAUCGAUGUGUAGCCCCACCUGGUGAGAGGAGGCGUCUCUGGGUCACGGAUCAGUUGGAAUCAGUGCUCACCCCAUCCCCGUUGUUUUGAACAUGACUUUCCUACACGUGUUCACAAUUUCCAAAGGGACUGUGUUUCUUCUCUGUGCUUCAUGUGAUUUGAAAUAUGUCGACUCAGAAGUGAAAUAUUUAUUUUUUGAAUAAAGGAGAUGAUAGCCUUAAA